CAUUUUUGGUAAAGAACAAUUAUCCAGGGUUUCGAAUUGAAUAUGUUUGGUGCUAGCCCUAUACUUAAAAGUAAUAGCCUACAAAUCUAAAGAUUGCUUUUGUCUUCUUCUUUUGUUUAGUAAUAUUUUGCCUCAUCGGAACAGUUGGUGUUUUCACUGGUCCUAUCGCUCUGGGGGCCGCUGGAGUGGCCGCGGUCGCCGCAAUGGCCGCAGCAGGUAAGCCUAUAAUGUGUGGCGACCCGAAACAAACGCAAACUGAUUAUCAUAUGGGGUCUAUGAAAGGGAGUUCACGCAAAACAACUUUUCAAAGGAUAUUUGUUUCCUUCUUACCUUGAAACAAAAAGAAUAUAAUGAACAAAGCAAAAAAGUUGUUUUGUUGUGUCCCUUCAUAAAUGUUAUGUCUUGCUUGGUUGUAGGUGCGGGUGCGGGCGCAGCUGCUGCAGCUGCAGGAGGAGCAACUGCAGUUGCACUUCUCAUCUAAAAUCAACUGUAGCCUAAUCGAUAUGCUCUCGUCUCGUCAAACUGAUUUGUUGGGGCAUUUGUGGAAUGGGGCUGGUGACCAUCAUUUUAAGAAUAUCAAUUGACCUUGAAUAAAAUUCUGAAGCCAAA